rnacentral:rRNA from 1 species
AUUGACGCUGGCGGCAGGCCUAACACAUGCAAGUCGAACGGUAACAGGAAGCAGCUUGCUGCUUUGCUGACGAGUGGCGGACGGGUGAGUAAUGUCUGGGAAACUGCCCGAUGGAGGGGGAUAACUACUGGAAACGGUAGCUAAUACCGCAUAACGUCGCAAGACCAAAGAGGGGGACCUUCGGGCCUCUUGCCAUCGGAUGUGCCCAGAUGGGAUUGGCUAGUAGGUGGGGUAACGGCUCACCUAGGCGACGAUCCCUAGCUGGUCUGAGAGGAUGACCAGCCACACUGGAACUGAGACACGGUCCAGACUCCUACGGGAGGCAGCAGUGGGGAAUAUUGCACAAUGGGCGCAAGCCUGAUGCAGACAUGCCGCGUGUAUGAAGAAGGCUUCGGGUUGUAAAGUACUUU